rnacentral:rRNA from 1 species
GCAAGUCGAGGGGUAACAGGGAAAAGCUUGCUUUUCCGCUGACGACCGGCGCACGGGUGCGUAACGCGUAUGCAACCUACCUCUUACUGGGGUAUAGCCCAGAGAAAUUUGGAUUAAUCCCCCAUAGUACCAUUUUAUCGCAUGAUGAAAUGGUUAAAGGUUACGGUAAGAGAUGGGCAUGCGUCCCAUUAGUUAGUUGGUGGGGUAACGGCUCACCAAGACUCCGAUGGGUAGGGGUUUGAGAGGAUGAUC